rnacentral:snRNA from 1 species
AUGCUCACUUCGGCAGCACAUAUACUAAAAGUGGAACGACACAGAGAAGAUAAGCAUGGCCCCUGUGCAAGGAUGACAGGCAAAUUCGUGAAGCAUUCCAUAUUAAA